GAUGAAGAACGCAGUGAAAUGCGAUAAGUAAUGCGAAUUGCAGAAUCCGUGAGUCAUCGAAUCUUUGAACGCACAUUGCGCCCUUUGGUAGUCCGAAGGGCAUGCCUGUUCGAGCGUCAUUAUCACCCCUCAAGCCCCGGCUUGGUGUUGGGCUCUCGGUGGUCGUCUCCGACCACCCGUCUCAAAGAUAGUGACGGCGUCCCAGAGGGAACCGGUACGAGGAGCUUUCACGAGCAUGUACGCGGGACGACUCUGCGGGCGACGGUCUUAUUUACUUUAUAUACAAGUGUUGACCUCGGAUCAGGUAGGAAUACCCGCUGAACUUAAGCAUAUCAAUAAGCGGAGGA
rnacentral:misc_RNA from 1 species